rnacentral:rRNA from 1 species
CGUCUGCUGUGAAAUCCUGAGGCUCAACCUUGGGCGUGCAGUGGGUACGGGCAGGCUAGAGGGCGGUAGGGGAGAUUGGAAUGCCUGGUGUAGCGGUGGAAUGCGCAGAUAUCAGGAGGAACACCGAUGGCGAAGGCAGAUCUCUGGGCCGUAACUGACGCUGAGGAGCGAAAGCAUGGGGAGCGAACAGG